rnacentral:lncRNA from 1 species
GAAAAGUUAUCGGCAGUUCUCCUCAUUUCCUCAUCUCUAUAUAUUUCUCUUCUGUACAAAGAUUUCCCUGGCAAGAAAAAAGAAAGAACACAGUAAACUUUAGGCAUUUAGUUUGUGAACAAAAACUCUGUUGAGAUUCAGAAUGCGAUUAGGGGCUAUUAUUUUGGUGGUGAGUUCAAAAAAUUGCAACUCUAUGUCCGCUGCGUUGUUGACAGGUACGCUAAUAUUGUUCUUGCCCCGCGAUUAUUAAACUAUCAAUAGUAUUAGAGCCUGCGUUGUUUGCUCGUAGUUGUUGAUUGUCUCAAUGUAAAAUACUGUGUGAGAAGUAUCUUUAAUAUACUGUUCGUUGCAAAUUUUUUUUGUUGCACAUUAACAGAUUGUGAAAAGAAUAAAGAACUUUGGAAUAGCAGUCGGUAUCACUUUUCUUGUUGAAAGAGAGUUCAAGAUUUUGAAGGACUUAAUUUUUGUAUAUGUGUUUGCAAUUUGGGCGUAAACCGACAUUGCUCUUAUUUGCUUGCACAAUAUGUGAAGAACAUCAGUGGUGUGUCCUACUUUCAUAAGAAUUUUAUUCUGGAAAUAAAAUUGAGAGAACAUAAUAUUGGAAGAACUUCUUUUAAUUGUACAAUUAGAAUUGGUUUCUAACUCUCAAUUCGAAAUAAAAUAGAAAUAGUUGUUUCCCCAAGUAUUAGUUCAUGACUUGAGUUAAAACAAGGACUUACGCAUUAGUUCGAAGAUUUACGUCUUCCUAUUGCUAAAUAGACAGAUAUUUUCUUAUCUUGGUUAUCCCAGUUUCAUAGAACUUUGUUUCUGGGAGUAUUUGAUUGAUAUUAUUUGAAGUAGGGCCUGUUUUUGUUAGUUCUUUUGCCCACAUGAAAGGGUAUUUCAAAUUGCAGAGAACUUAAUUCACUUAUAUAAACUUUGGGAUUUGACCUGUCAGUUUUCUUUAUCAUGUCCCUCUUUGCUUUUCUUAUUAUUUUAAGAUGAAGAAUUGCAUGUUGUUAACAGAAACACUCCUACAGAAUGGCUAAUAUCAUGGAUUUUGUGUACAAUUAAAAUCGGGCCCACCCGAUUUUACUAUUUGACCGAGACCGGGAGGUUGCAUCGAAGGACGACCUCGUAACAAAACAAAUUGAAUCACGAGGAUAAGGUACCGAGUUCAGAAUCGAGGUACCUGUCGAGAUCGAGGCUAGUAGCGAUCGAAACCAAAUGAGACAGACAUCGAGCAAGAUCGAAAAUAGCAUAAUAACAGAAAGGCGAGAUAUCCGUGACUGGUCGAAUAUCAUGGCGUAAAUCUUGGUGACUGGUCGAGGAUCAUGGCUUAAAUCUCGGAACGGAUCAAAUCAGAAAUGGUUAAUUAGCUAAUCAUGGGAUUUCCUUCUAUAAUUAGAGUUAUACUAUAAGUCGAAUUCUUCUACUAUAUAAAGGGGAGUACUAACCAUUUGUAACAUAGAUUGUUGACGGAUAUAAAAGCAAUAUAAUUCUCUUCCUCGCGGAUACUAUUGUUCAUCAGCUUGUUAUACUUUAAUUGUUCUUGCAUCAACCAGUUCGAGGGUAUCCAAACUCUGAGUUCCAUUCUAAC